rnacentral:rRNA from 1 species
CUUCCCCCGCACGGCGCGUUUCAGCCUUCUCAGACUUGCGNGCGGUUGGUUCUUCCACGCUCUCCACCCCUGGGCCGUCGUCUUUCCCAGCCUUCUGCUCGCGCGCUGGCUCAGCUGCCUGCGUCGGCGGCGGGUGCUCCGUGGGUCCGACCCCAUCACAGCACUCGGAGACAUCACACUCCGAGGCACACACCGGGGACUCCACAUCACCGGACAUCACACCAUUUUGACCACUGACCAUGGAUCGACUGACACACAUCUGACACACAGGACGGGACUNUCCCGAGACUUGAUCCCCACUAUCCAUUCGAGACAUUGAAGCACCCCCGNACGNAAUNCAGACACCAUUAUACCAAACCUUCNCAAAUCAUAGANGAUGGCCAAGGGAUUCAANAACCCGGAGAACUUCCCAACCCCAAAAGGGAACCACAA